rnacentral:tRNA from 1 species
GGCCUUGUGGCCUAAUGGAUAAGGCGUCGGACUUCGGAUCCGAAGAUUGCAGGUUCGAGUCCUGCAUGGGUCG